UAUUCAUUCUCAUAGUUAUUAUAAUAAUAAUAUUCGCCGGCUACGCCGGCAUGUCGCCUUUGGCGACGAUAAUUAUAUGUCAACAUAUCCUCCUUUUAAUAACUCAUAAUGUUAUUAGCCGGCUACGCCGGCAUGUCCGCGUAGCGGACGAUUAGUUUGUGAAAGGGAAUAGUCAGCUACUCUGGUUAAUAUAAAUAAUUAAAUAAAAUGAGUGAAAUAAGGUAGUGAAGGUAAAUAAAUAAAGAGGUAAGAUAUUGAAAAAAGGUAUAUGAAAUAAAUAUUAUUUUAUGGAUAUAAAUGCUAAUAUUUAUAGGAAGUGAAAAAUAAGUUAAUAAAAUUAACUAAUCAUAUCAUGAAAAUGAGAAGAAAGAACCAAAUGGAAUGAAACAUCUGAGUAAUUUGGAAGAAAUCAACAGAGAUUAUUUAAGUAACGGUGAGUGAAAGAAUAAUAGUUUUAAAGUAUCAUCAAGAGGUGAGAAAAAAGUAGUAUCUACUACUAAAACUAAAAAUAAAUAUUAAGUAAAAGUACCGUGAGGGAAAUAUUGAAAUAGAAUAAUAAAGAGCAGUUAUAGUAUAGCGUACCUCUUGUAUAAUGGGCCAGUGAGUUAUUUAUUUAAGUGAGAAUUAAUUCAUAAUUAAUAUAAUCGCCCACUAGGGCAUGUCAUAAUUUAAGUAAAUAGGCCCGAAAGCAAACGAUCCACAUAUGUCCAAGUGUAUAAGAGUGUUUCACUUUUGUAUGACUGAAUAGGUAGAUGUAGCAAUAUCUUCUAAAGAGAUGUAUGUAGUAGUGACAGACAAAUCUGGUUUGCCGAUAGCUGGUUUUCUGCGAAAUAUAUUUUAGUAUAGCCUCUACUCAUUUAUUAACUGGUACAGCACUUAUUCUAUAAAUCUAUUUGUCGGUUUACCGACUUAUAGAUCUUUUGGGGAAUUUUACAAUUUUAUCAAAAAGAAUUAACCUCGGAAACAGUAAAUCAUUAAGUAGGGAGUCAGACUUAUUGCGAUAAGGUAGUAGGUCGAGAAGGAAACAACCUAGACUAUUAAAUGUAUGUCCCAAAUAUUAUGUAAGUGAACAUAAUCUUAAUUAAAUUAUAAGACCAUCAGUCAGCGGGUUUGACAAUAAUCAUCUGUUAAUGGACAUGUAACAAUGCACUGAUUCAAUAAAGUAAUUAUUACUUUAUUCAUUUAUUUUUAUAAAUGAAAUAAUUAAUUAAGAAAAAAUAUACGGGUCUAACAUAAUAACAGAAUUAUAGAGUAAUAAUAUAUUAUUACUGGUAGCAGAAUAUAUGAUGAAAUUAUUCAUAAUAUGAAUGAAUCAUAAAGAAUAUGCUGGCUUGAGUAACGAAAGGUAGUAUAAGACUAUCCUCCUAAUCAUAAGGUUUUACUAUAAACGAACGGUCCCUAAGAUAUUUAUAGAAAUAUAAAGUUGAUGGGUGAAAGAACAGGAAAAUAAAAAUGAACCGUACUGUAAACCGACACAGGUAUGAAUAAUCACAUAAGUGAUAUAUUAGCUAUUGCUAAUAAGGAGAAUGAGUAAAUUAGUCUUAAUGAACUCGGCAAAAUAGUAAAACAACUUUAAAUCGUGCGACUGUUUACCAAAAACAUAGCUUACUGCAUAUUAGUAAUAAUAAGUAUAGUAAGUGAUAUCUGCCCGGUGUAAGUUUAUAUAAAAUAAUUAUAUGAAAGUAUAAUAACAAAAAGCUUAUAAACGGCGGUCUUAUUAUGAGGAUCCGAAGGUAGCGAAAUUCAUUGGCGCAUAAUUGGUGUCCCGCAUGAAUGAAUACACGAUGCGAUAACUGUAUCAAGACUAAGCUCAGUGAAAUAGCAAUCGCGGUGAAGAUGCCGUGUACCCGUAGAUUGACAAAAAGACCCUAUGCAGCUUUACUAUAUCUUUUUAUUGACUUCUUUUUUUAUAUUUUUCAGUAUAUUAGGUUUAUUUUACUUAUUAAUACUUUUUAAGUCCCUUAAUAUAUUUUAAAUACAAAUGAGAUACCUAUAUUUAUAAUUAAAGAAUCUUAUCAAUUUAGUUAAUUCACAUUGUGUUUUAACAUUAUAAUGAGACAGUUUAAAGAAGUUAGUUUCGAUGGGGCGUCGACAUCAGCGAAAGCAUCUGAUGUGUCUAAAUAUAAUUAUUAUAUCAAUCACCCAUUAUUGGGUUUAUAAUAGAAAAUUACGUACAAUAGAACUAUAUGGCAAAUAGUUAUAUUUUUAUAAUGCAAGGAUAACAACAUAAUUGUGCGAUGAUAAUAACACUAACAAGUGGAAUUAGUACUUAAGUAAAGUGUAAUGAACAGGCAUAUUCUAAAGAUAAGGAUGUCGAUAACGGAUUAAAGUUACGCUAGGGAUAACAGGGUAAUACCGCUAGAGAGUUGAUAUCGUCAGCGGUGUUUGCCACCUCGAUGUCGUCUAGACUCGUCCUCCUGGUAGCAGCAACUAGGUAGGGUAGGACUGUUCGUCCUCUAAGGAGUUACUUGAGAUGGGUUAAUUACGACGUGAGUCAGUAAUGAUUUUAUCAUCUAUGGGAAUUUAUUUAUUUAUUGCCUUGGGUGUACGAAAGGAUAGCAAGGUGCUUUUCAAUGGUUAUAUGACUUUAUAUAUCAUAUAAGCUAAAAAAGUUGAGAUUACAUAUUGAAUGCAUAUUAAAUAUUAAAUCCUAUAAAUUAAAUAAAAACAUUUUAUACUAAUAUGUUAUAGUAUAUUCUACAUAUGUUGGAAUUUUACUAAUUAGUUCACUUAUUUAUCACCUUAUUUGGUGAUUAUUUAAGUUUUAUUCAUAUACCAUGCAAUAUCUUAUUC
rnacentral:rRNA from 1 species